rnacentral:snRNA from 12 species
AGCUUUGUGCAGUGGCAGUAUUGUAGCCAACGAGGUUUAUCCGAGGCGUGAAUAUUGCUAACUGAAAACUUUUCUAUAAAGGAACUGGCCUGUAGUUUAAAAAAAAAAAAUCAAUGUCACAAAGGAAAGGAAAUAUGCAACAUGUAAUCUUAGAUUAGAUCCUGGAUG